CCUACGGGACGCAGCAGUGAGGAAUAUUGGUCAAUGGGCGGGAGCCUGAACCAGCCAAGUCGCGUGAGGGAUGACGGCCCUAUGGGUUGUAAACCUCUUUUGCCGGGGAGCAAAGUGCCGCACGUGUGCGGUUUGGAGAGUACCCGGAGAAAAAGCAUCGGCUAACUCCGUGCCAGCAGCCGCGGUAAUACGGAGGGCGCGAGCGUUAAUCGGAAUUACUGGGCGUAAAGCGCGCGUAGGCUGUUGUGUAAGUUGGGGGUGAAAUCCCACGGCUCAACCGUGGAACAGCCCUUGAUACUGCGCGA
rnacentral:rRNA from 1 species